rnacentral:rRNA from 1 species
GGUGGGUCAUCUUUUAUCUUUUACAGACCUAGUAUAGGUAUGCUUUAGGAGGGGCUUGCGCCAUAUUAGUUAGUUGGUAGGGUAAUGGCCUACCAAGACGAUGAUGUGUAGCUGGACUGAGAGGUUGAACAGCCACAUUGGGACUGAGACACGGCCCAAACUCCUACGGGAGGCAGCAGUAGGGAAUUUUCGGCAAUGGAGGAAACUCUGACCGAGCAACGCCGCGUGAAUGACGAAGUACUUCGGUAUGUAAAGUUCUUUUAUCAAGGAAGAAAAGCAAAUGGCGAACCAUUUGUUUGCCGGUACUUGAUGAAUAAGCCCCGGCUAAUUAUGUGCCAGCAGCCGCGGUAAGACAUAAGGGGCGAGUGUUAUCCGGAAUUAUUGGGCGUAAAGGGUGCGUAGGCGGUCUAGUAAGUCAGUGGUGUAAUGGCAACGCUUAACGUUGUCCGGCUAUUGAAACUGCUAAACUUGAGUUAGAUAGAGGCGAGUGGAAUUCCAUGUGUAGCGGUAAAAUGCGUAAAUAUAUGGAGGAACACCAGAGGCGUAGGCGGCUCGCUGGGUCUUAACUGACGCUGAGGCACGAAAGCGUGGGGAGCAAACAGGAUUAGAUACCCUGGUAGUCCACGCCGUAAACGAUGAGUACUAAGUGUCGGGUUAAACCGGUACUGAAGUUAACACAUUAAGUACUCCGCCUGAGUAGUACGUACGCAAGUAUGAAACUUAAAGGAAUUGACGGGACUCCGCACAAGCGGUGGAUCAUGUUGUUUAAUUCGAAGAUACCCGAAAAACCUUACCAGGUCUUGACAUGUUUUUGCAAAAUGAUAGUAAUAUCGUGGAGGUUACCAGAAACACAGGUGGUGCAUGGUUGUCGUCAGCUCGUGUCGUGAGAUGUUAGGUUAAGUCCUAAAACGAGCGAAACCCUUAUCGUUAGUUGCCAGCACGUUAUGGUGGGGACUUUAACGAGACUGCCAAUGAUAAAUUGGAGGAAGGUGAGGAUCACGUCAAAUCAGCAUGCCCCUUAUGACCUGGGCUACAAACGUGAUACAAUGGCUGUUACAAAGGGUAGCUGAAACGCAAGUUCUUGGCCAAUCCCCAAAAACAGUCCCAGUCCGGAUUGAAGUCUGCAACUCGACUUCAUGAAGUUGGAAUCGCUAGCAAUCGCGAAUCAGCAGUACCGACUCACGCACUAAAAGAA